AAAAAGAUUUUGAUUUUUGAUUUUUUAUUUUAUUUUUUGAUUUUUUUGCAUGUAUAUUUUUUUUAGGAGUGUAUUUUCUUAAUGAUUAUUUUUUUUAUUUUCAGUGUUUAGUUUUUAGGUUAUUAUUUUUUUAAUUUAAGAAAUUUUUUUAUAUCAGAAAAAUUUUGUGCCAGCAUUCGCGGUUAUACAUUAUGGUAAAGUAAAAUUUUUUGGAUUUCAGAUUUUUUUUUAUUUUUUAUAUUUGGGUGAAAUCAAUAUAAUUUUAUUUAUUUUAAUUUCUGUAAAAGCUUAUUAAAAACCAGGAUUAGAUACCCUGUUAUUUUGAAACAAUUUUUUAUUUCCGGUUAGUAUUUUUUUCUGAAAUUCAAUGGAUCUGGCGGUUUUUAAAUCUUUUUAGAGGAACCUGUAUUUUAAAUGAUAGUCCACGAUAAUUUUUACCUUUAUUUUUCUUGUAUAUCUCUGUCGUUGAAUGUAUUGAAAAAUUUAUUUUCCUUUUAUUUAUUUUAGUUAUGUUAGGUCAAGGUGCAGUUUUGUAAAGGUUAAUAUGGGUUACUAUUAUAUUUGUUAUUGGAUUUUAUUUUUUUUAUUUUAUGAAUUUGGAUUUAAAAGUAAUAUUUUUUAUUUAAUUUUAUGAAUUUUGCUCUUAGUAAUGUACAUAUCGCCCGUCAUUCCCAUAAAGUGAGACAAGUCGUAACAAAGUAGAUGUAUCGGAAGAUGUAUCUAGAAUAA
rnacentral:ncRNA from 1 species